rnacentral:rRNA from 1 species
AGUGAACGCUGGCGGUAGGCCUAACACAUGCAAGUCGAACGGCAGCACAGUAAGAGCUUGCUCUUACGGGUGGCGAGUGGCGGACGGGUGAGGAAUACAUCGGAAUCUACUUUUUCGUGGGGGAUAACGUAGGGAAACUUACGCUAAUACCGCAUACGACCUACGGGUGAAAGCAGGGGAUCUUCGGACCUUGCGCGAUUGAGUGAGCCGAUGUCGGAUUAGCUAGUUGGCGGGGUAAAGGCCCACCAAGGCGACGAUCCGUAGCUGGUCUGAGAGGAUGAUCAGCCACACUGGAACUGAGACACGGUCCAGACUCCUACGGGAGGCAGCAGUGGGGAAUAUUGGACAAUGGGCGCAAGCCUGAUGCAGCCAUACCGCGUGGGUGAAGAAGGCCUUCGGGUUGUAAAGCACUUUUGUUGGGAAAGAAAAGCAGCAGGUUAAUACCCCGCUGUUUUGACGUUACCCAAAGAAUAAGCACCGGCUAACUUCGUG